CCUCGAGCGAGAAGCACUUUCUGUGUAAAUGGAGGGAAGUGCGUCCUCUCUCGAGCGU
rnacentral:pre_miRNA from 1 species